UUUUGAGCUGCUCUGGAGACUUAUUUGUCAUGACAUCUGGUUUCUUUGGGAAAGAUAUGAGUACCUACAACAUGAUGACCCUCAAAUAAUCACACAAGUACCUUUUAAAUGGACUCCAGACCCUCCACCAAAAGUUCAAAGAAAGGAUUUUAAAAAAUCAUUGUUAUCAGGAUUUGGCUCCUCUGCUUUAGUAUCACCUGGAGAAAGUAAUGUGGAGAAUUCAAUCUGGAUUAAGUUUGAAAAGAGUGAGUUUAUGAAAAACUUUAAAGGAAAGA
rnacentral:sRNA from 1 species